CAGGAUGGACCCGCGUCUGAUUAGCUAGUUGGUAAGGUAACGGCUUACCAAGGCGACGAUCAGUAGCCGACCUGAGAGGGUGAUCGGCCACAUUGGAACUGAGACACGGUCCAAACUCCUACGGGAGGCAGCAGUGGGGAAUAUUGCACAAUGGGCGAAAGCCUGAUGCAGCAACGCCGCGUGAGUGAUGAAGGCCUUCGGGUCGUAAAACUCUGUCCUCAAGGAAGAUAAUGACGGUACUUGAGGAGGAAGCCCCGGCUAACUACGUGCCAGCAGCCGCGGUAAUACGUAGGGGGCUAGCGUUAUCCGGAUUUACUGGGCGUAAAGGGUGCGUAGGCGGUCUUUCAAGUCAGGAGUGAAAGGCUACGGCUCAACCGUAGUAAGCUCUUGAAACUGGGAGACUUGAGUGCAGGAGAGGAGAGUGGAAUUCCUAGUGUAGCGGUGAAAUGCGUAGAUAUUAGGAGGAACACCAGUUGCGAAGGCGGCUCUCUGGACUGUAACUGACGCUGAGGCACGAAAGCGUGGGGAGCAAACAGGAUUAGAUACCCUGGUAGUCCACGCUGUAAACGAUGAGUACUAGGUGUCGGGGGUUACCCCCCUCGGUGCCGCAGCUAACGCAUUAAGUACUCCGC
rnacentral:rRNA from 1 species